rnacentral:ribozyme from 1 species
UUUCCAGUAACUCCUAUCCCUACCUCCUCGUGGUACUGGCCGGGGUACAAGUAAUCUUAGGGAAGA